rfam:Ornithorhynchus anatinus chromosome 4, whole genome shotgun sequence.
AGCAGCGUGGCUCAGUGGAAAGAGCAUGGGCUUCGGAGUCAGAGUUCAUGGGUUCAAAUCCCGGCUCUGCCA